AUUUAAUGUUCACUGGUUGAAUCAAUGGGAUGACAAGAUAUAAUAACAUUGCUCACUGCAAUAUGAUUAAUAUUUUAAUGUACAAAGAAAAAUAAGCAGUGAAACAUUCAAAAAUAUACUGCAAGUUAAUGGAACUGCCGUCCCAUUGAAACCUCUUUCUGCAGACCUCCAGCUAAUGAUGUUGAAACACCAAUAUCGAUCAAUUGUCAGGGUACUAACUGCACCUCUUCCUCAAGCAAAUCAACUACAAC